AACGGACGCUGGCGGCAUGCCUAACACAUGCAAGUCGAACGAGACCUUCGGGUCUAGUGGCGCACGGGUGCGUAACGCGUGGGAACCUGCCCUUAGGUUCGGAAUAACUCCCCGAAAGGGGUGCUAAUACCGGAUAAUGUCUUCGGACCAAAGAUUUAUCGCCUUUGGAUGGGCCCGCGUUGGAUUAGCUAGUUGGUAGGGUAAAAGCCUACCAAGGCGACGAUCCAUAGCUGGUCUGAGAGGAUGAUCAGCCACACUGGGACUGAGACACGGCCCAGACUCCUACGGGAGGCAGCAGUGGGGAAUAUUGGACAAUGGGCGAAAGCCUGAUCCAGCAAUGCCGCGUGAGUGAUGAAGGCCUUAGGGUUGUAAAGCCCUUUUACCCGGGAUGAUAAUGACAGUACCGGGAGAAUAAGCUCCGGCUAACUCCGUG
rnacentral:rRNA from 1 species